GAGAUGAGUUCUCCCUGAGACUUAGAGUCUCCUGAAGGAACGUUGAAGACGACGACGUUGAUAGGCCGGGUGUGUAAGCGCAGCGAUGCGUUGAGCUAACCGGUACUAAUGAACCGUGAGGCUUAACCUUAC
rnacentral:rRNA from 1 species